GGCUCCCGAGAGUUGUAGUUUGCGUCUGGUCCGCAAAGACGGACUUUCUUGCGGCAGCCGACGGGCUGUUCGGUUGUGAUUGUUGGUGUUCUUUUGUGGAGGCGGGUCGGUUCGCUGGCGCAUCCAUCCGUGGGUUUGUCUGUCGGUCAGCUCCGCGGUUUCUCAGCUGCGCUCCGCGCCUACUGACUUUCUUUCUGGAGAAGAGGAUGUGGCCGAGCCUCAGGUGACGCUGUGGACUUUGCUUUCUAUGCAGGUUUCCUUUCCAGACCAGCUCUUGUGCAUUCUUUCAGCAACGAUCUGUACAUACACGGCCACGUGAACUUAUAUCCUUUAUCCAAUUCUUUUUCACCCAGUUGAUGAAAUGCUCACACACUUCACUGUUUUUAUUUAUUGUGAUAAAAUACAUAUAACAAAAUUUGCCAUUUUAACCAUUUUUAGUGUAUAAUCACAAUAUUGUGCAACCAUCACAAUAUCUAUACCUAGUUAUCAUGACCCCAAACAGAAACUGUACAAAUUAAAUUGUUUGUUAUUAACAUAUGAUACAUGUUGCAGCAUAUAUCAAAACUUUAUUUCUUUUUGUGGUGGAAUAAUAUUCCAUUGUAUGCAUAGGUCACAUUUAAUUUAUCCAUUCACCUUGGUUUGUUUCUACUUUUUAGCUGUUGUGAAUAGUGCUGUUAUGGACAUUAGAGUACGAGUAUCUGUUUGAGUCCCUGUUUCCAUUAUUUUGUAUGAAUACUCAUAUAUCUAAGAGUGGGAUUGCUGGGUUAUAUGGUAAUUCUAUCUUAACCUUUUUGGGGAAUUGCCAAACUGUUUUCCACAGUGACUGUACCAUUUUACAUUCCUACCAGCAAUGCACAAGGGUCACAAUUACUCCACAUCCUCACCGACACUUUCAUUUUUUUUAUUACAGCCAUCCUGGUAGGUAUGCAGCGGUAUUUCUUUAUGGUUUUGAUUUGCAUUUCCCUAAUAACAAAUUAUGUUGAGUAUCUUUUCACGUAUUUGUAUAUAAUCUUUGGAGAAAUGUCUAUUCAAGUCCUUUGCCCAUUUUUAAAUUUUGCAUGUGUGUGUAUGGUGGUUGUUGGGUUAUAGGAGUUCCUCAUAUAUUCUGAAUAUUAAACACUUAUUAGAUAUAUGAUUUGCAAAUAUUUUCUCCCAUUGUGGGGAUUUUCUUUUCACUCUACUUAUAGUGUCCUUUGAUGCACAAAAUGUUUAAGUUUUAAUGAAGUCCAAUUCAUUUAUUUUCUAAUUGUGUUGCCUCUGCUUUGGGUGUUAUAUUUAAGACACCAUUGCCAAAUCCAAUGUCACGAAGACUUGCCUUUACAUUUUCUUCUGAGUUUUAUAUUUUCAGCUCUUAAAUUUAUAUCUUUCAACCACUUUGUGUUAAGUUUUGUAUGUGGUAUAAGGUGAGGAUACAACUUUAAUCUUUUGCAUAUGAAUAUCCAGUUUUCCUGCACCAUGUUGAAAAGACUGCUUUUUCCCCACUGAAUGUUGGUGCCCUUUUCAAAAAUCAAUUGCCAAUCGAGGGGAGGGUUUAUUUCUGGGCUCUCAAAUGUAUCCUAUUCGUCAAUAUAUCUAUCUUUAUGCCAUUAACACACUGUUUUGAUCAUUGUAGCUCUGUAGUAAGUUGUGAAAUCUAGA